AGAGUUUGAUCCUGGCUCAGGAUGAACGCUGGCGGCGUGCUUAACACAUGCAAGUCGAACGGACCCUUCGGGGUUAGUGGCGGACGGGUGAGUAACGCGUGAGGAUCUGCCCUUAGGACGGGGACAACGACUGGAAACGGUCGCUAAUACCCGAUGUGCCGGGAGGUGAAAACUUUAGUGCCUGAGGAUGAACUCGCGUCUGAUUAGCUAGUUGGUAGUGUAAUGGACUACCAAGGCGACGAUCAGUAGCUGGUCUGAGAGGAUGAUCAGCCACACUGGGACUGAGACACGGCCCAGACUCCUACGGGAGGCAGCAGUGGGGAAUUUUCCGCAAUGGGCGAAAGCCUGACGGAGCAACGCCGCGUGAGGGAAGAAUGUCUGUGGAUUGUAAACCUCUUUUCUCAGGGAAGAAGAACUGACGGUACCUGAGGAAUCAGCAUCGGCUAACUCCGUGCCAGCAGCCGCGGUAAUACGGAGGAUGCAAGCGUUAUCCGGAAUUAUUGGGCGUAAAGCGUCCGUAGGCGGCUUAUCAAGUCUGUUGUUAAAGCGUGCAGCUUAACUGCAUAUAGGCAAUGGAAACUGGUCGGCUAGAGUGUAGUAGGGGUAGAGGGAAUUCCCAGUGUAGCGGUGAAAUGCGUAGAUAUUGGGAAGAACACCGGUGGCGAAAGCGCUCUACUGGGCUACAACUGACGCUGAUGGACGAAAGCUAGGGGAGCGAAAGGGAUUAGAUACCCCUGUAGUCCUAGCCGUAAACGAUGGACACUAGGUGUUGACCGUAUCGACCCGGUCAGUGCCGUAGCCAACGCGUUAAGUGUCCCGCCUGGGGAGUACGCUCGCAAGAGUGAAACUCAAA
rnacentral:rRNA from 1 species